GAUUCCCUUUCUUGGUUCCCGGCACCGAGCUGCAACACAAGAGAGACACAGUCACAGGGGCCCUCCCCCCGGGCACUGGUGAAGGGGGGAGGAAGGCAGUAGGAGUGAGGUGCUGUCCAUGCUGGGUGGCUGGCGCUCUCUUGUUGUGUCCACUCAGCCCCCAGAAGUGAGGGGCAUGGCUCUGGAGAGCCCCAUGCCUCCUCCUUCUGUGGACAGAAGUAUUGGUGGGCACCAGGCUCUCAGUAGGACUCCCGGGGCCUGAGCCUCUGAUGCUGGCAUGGCUCUUGUUGAACCCAGGUCCCAGCCCUGUAAUGCUCACCCCUCCAUGGUUCCAGGGCUUUGUCUAGCCCUGGUCUUGCCGCUGCACCCUGGUCUACUGGAACCUGGCUCCCAGCAGCCUUUUAUGAGGUCACUGAGCUUCAGUUAUCGCUGAAGUCUACAUGCACCCUGCCAAGCCCCUCAUUCUGCUGCCUGCACUCCACCUACACUCUCAACCCUGCCCUGCAAUAGGAGUGGGUGGAGGGGGAGGCUGCCUGGCAUGGGGGCCUCACUCACUCUUCCCUGGCUCCCUGCAGCUGGGAGGACCUGGCUGGUGGCUGGAGAAGCACCACUUCCCCUUCAAUGUUGGCUCGCUUGACUCCUGGCUUGCUGAAGUCAAGCUCCUGCGGGUUGAUCAGGUGGUGGCUAAAGUCAUUCCUAAGACAAGAGGAGGCAGUACCUUGGUGUCAGUGCACACAACCGGAUAUGGGGACUCUACAGCAACACCCCCAAUGAGGUAAUCCCUUUAGGCCUGCAGCAGGGACCACAGCAACCUCACUCUCCCUGCCUCUGGAGCCUCUCACAGACCCAAGGGCGAGGCUGCCUUAACCCUGCCCUCUUCCCCAUAUCCAGUGAAGCUGGUAAAUUUGCUGCUGGUUCACCUCUCUGGGCAUUCUGCUGCCUGACCCCACAAGCUCCUGGCAAGCCUGGUUGUGUUUUGGUGGUUUUGCAUUUACUGUUGUUGUGUAAAAAGCCCUUUUUGGCAAAAGGCAACUUAAUACCCCAAACCUCAACUCAAUGUACUGGGACACGCUCACUGGGACAAUCCUAGCUGUCCAUCACCCUACCCCUCACAGCUGCACUGGAGCAAGCGUUGAGGGGGCCCAACCAGGGCUGCUGGCUGAUGUAAGGGUCCUGCAUCAAUUCCUUGCCAAGCGGAAGGCUGCUCUCUGGUGAUCGAUUCUUGGCGCGAUGGUGGCGCUAGCCCACGUCUCCCUGGAGGGGAAGAAAGUCCA